rnacentral:rRNA from 1 species
UUGAACGCUGGCGGCAGGCCUAACACAUGCAAGUCGAGCGGUUGAGAGUAGCUUGCUACCUGAUGCAGCGGCGGACGGGUGAGUAACGCGUGGGAAUCUGCCCAGUAGUGGGGGACAACAGCCGGAAACGGCUGCUAAUACCGCAUACGCCCUACGGGGGAAAGGGGGGGAUCUUCGGACCUCUCGCUAUUGGAUGAGCCCGCGUCGGAUUAGCUAGUUGGUAGGGUAAAGGCCUACCAAGGCUACGAUCCGUAACUGGUCUGAGAGGAUGAUCAGUCACACUGGAACUGAGACACGGUCCAGACUCCUACGGGAGGCAGCAGUGGGGAAUAUUGGACAAUGGGGGAAACCCUGAUCCAGCCAUGCCGCGUGUGUGAAGAAGGCCUUAGGGUUGUAAAGCACUUUCAGUGGGGAGAAAGGUUUGUCGCCUAAUACGUGAUGAAAUUGAUGUUACCCACAGAAGAAGCACCGGCUAACUCCGUGCCAGCAGCCGCGGUAAGAC